rnacentral:rRNA from 1 species
UACGAGGGGGGCGAGCGUUGUUCGGAAUUAUUGGGCGUAAAGGGUGCGUAGGCGGUUCCGCAAGUCCUGUGUGAAAUCUUCGGGCUUAACUCGAAGCCUGCACGGGAAACUGCCGGGCUUGAGUAUGGGAGAGGUGAGUGGAAUUCCUGGUGUAGCGGUGAAAUGCGUAGAUAUCAGGAGGAACACCUGUGGCGAAAGCGGCUCACUGGACCAUAACUGACGCUGAUGCACGAAAGCUAGGGGAGCAAACAGG